rnacentral:lncRNA from 1 species
GACUCCGAGACAAGCUUCACGUCAAAAGGCAGAAGACCAACUUUCGGAAACUGAGAGCCGAGUCGACUCCAAGGAAGUUCGAGUCGACUCCAAGAUUGGAUGAGCCAAAAGACAGAGAAUCGGGAGUUCGGGCUCGGAGAUUUGAGUCGACUCCCAGGACAGUCGAGUCGACUCGAGUGGACAAAAUUCAAAAUUGGAUCCACGGACUUCAGUGGAUGAGCCGACUCCAAAAUUGCCAGGUCAGCUCCAGAAGUUGGCGAGUCGACUCCAGGUCAAGACGAGUCGACUCCCAAUCGUGACGGCAACUUUAAUUCAAAUUUGGAACAGUUGCCGAGUCGACUCCGGAAAAGCGUGAGUCGACUCCUGCUACAGCCGAGUCGACUCCUGAUCGCGCGAGUCGACUCCAACCCACCAACGGUCAUAUUGUCAGGCUGCGCAGAGUGUGCAGAACGGCCAGAAAAAGCAGAGUAACGGCUAGUUUCCGUGGGGGUUGGCUUAAAUAGCCACAGAAGNNNNNNNNNNNNNNNAGAACACACAUUCCACUCCAAGCAUUCAAGUUUUCAAGCUCUCCAAGUGCUCUUAAACGAAAAAGGGGAGAUCUGCAUUUACUGCUCCAACAACUUCUUCCCAACAAUCAAAGCUUCCUCCUCCUGCAUUCAAGUCGACCACUCUUUCAAGAGGAGACCGGAGUUCCAGAAGCCAUACCUCUUCACCAGCUUAAAAGCGUUUGAGGGCUUCUAACUCCUUUACGAUUAUAUUGUUUUAAAUCUGCUUUUUGAGAAGCUAUUUUCUGUUUUCUUCUAUCUCUUGUAUUUACUUGAUUCAAUCGGAGGAUUGAAUCAAGGGGUUUAAGGUUGGUUGGUGAGCCAAGUUAAAACCAACGUGUGUAAGGAUUUGAUUGUGAGCCCGGAAAAACAAUCGGGGUUGGUUCUAGUCGGUGAGCCUGGGAAAACCGACCGAGUUCGUUGUGAGCUCGUAAAACAACAAGUUUGGUUGUGAGCUUGCAAAACAACCGGCUGUAAUCCAAGGGGGUUAUAGUGAAAUUCCCAAGUGAGACUUGGGGAGUGGACGUAGGAGCAAGGGUUAGCUCCGAACCACUAUAAAACUUUGUGUUUGUAGUGCAUUGUCUCUCAUCUUCUUCCCCGCACACUACUCACAGCACUUAGCUUUAAUUAAAUAACUUGCUAUAGUUUUAAAUUAAUCAUCCACAAAGUUUUAAAUAUUCAAGUUAAUUUAAAAACCCAAUUCACCCCCCCCCCUCUUGGGUUGUCUAUC